CGCUGGUGGGUGGGAGGCGCAGCACGCCGCCACCGCCUUCGAGCAGGCGGGUCGAUGCCGGCGAUCGCGGUUCGAUCACGCGACCGGUGC
rnacentral:tRNA from 1 species